GGCGGGACAUCAAACACAAAAUGGAGACUACACACAGAGAUAGCCACAAAAUGGACGGAGAUCUGAAACCACAAAACCUCCAGCUCUGAAAUUUAGGCAAUUUGUUUUGGAGCCAAAUCUUUCGGGACCUGCAGAUGGGCAAUUUGUUUUGUGCACAAAUCGCCCAAAACAGGCAGAUUUGGGUACAGCUUGUUCUGUACCCCAAAUGUUUUGCACAUCCCUACAUAGAAGGAGGUUUGGAAAAGGAACCACUGCUCAUUUCAUUGUUGAGUAUUCAGUGGAGAUGAUCUGACUGUGACCAAAAUCAGAUAAGGCUGGAGUAAUUAUAUCUGGCAAGCCCUGUGCCCUUGAAGAGAGAGAAUAUCUGCCACUGAACCCCAUUGUGAACCCUACCACCUUUUAAGAUCACCAAAAGAUGUUUGUCUGAGGGUGUUGCCAAUUCGCCUGGUGGUGUCUCAAAGACCAACCUCAAAAGUCUCGAGGUCAGCCCUACCAUGAAGCAGGGUGAAGCAGGACACUUCUGGUGGCAGAUGGUUGGCAAAUUGUCAGGGGCAGCAUGGGAGCCCACCCAGCAACCUCCUCCAUGACCUGCAGAGGAAGGAAGAUAAAAUGGCACCACACUGCUUCCCUCUCCCCUUCCCAACAGAAAAGGAUGGAAUGAGGAGAGAUCUGAGAGAAGGAACUGGGGACCUGAUUUUACUAUCAAAAAAUGAAAGGGGAGAGAAAGGAGAGGGUGUCAUCUGCCAUUCUGCCUCAGGCAGGAAAAUGUCCUGGGCCAGCACUAUCUUCUCCAGCUGGUAUACAUCUCUCAUGAAGAGCGAGACAGAUUUUCACUUUCCAGUAUUUGUAAAUAGGAAAGUUAUAUGGACAAUGUGCCACAGCUAGGCAGUUCUUAUAUAUAGCAGCAUGAGGAACUUGCAGGGUUGUCGUGGAAAGAACCAAAGGCAGUUGGAUCCUGUGGCUGUAAGACUAUGUGGAUAAACACUUGGAAUUCCCUGAAUAAAACUGUAGCAAACAGGAUGACACAUCUGACCAAUGACAAGGGCACCACACUGAGCUGCCUUCCCAGUACUUACUGGGAACCAAAUCUCCAUCCACACAGAUGUGGCAUGCAAACGAUACUUGCCAAUCUUUUGCCUCUGAAGUCUCUCCAUCUUCUUCAAAUGCAUAAGCUCCACUCCAUGAGACAUGUUCUUUAUGAGAAGGUUAGGAGCUGCUACAUUAAAACACUCAUUAGUUGAGAACGUAACAUAACAUCAUCCCCAGAUGGAUCCUGGUACUUUGUAUAAUUUAUCGCUUUUCAACAUUUUUACUUCCUUAGAUGGCAACUCAGAGUUAUUAAACAUCCCUGUGGAGUAAAGUCUUCCUUUUAAGAGGUUUUGGAGACCUGCAAGUGAUUAUAAAGGUCAACAAUUCAUGCAGACACACACAGUAAGGUAAUAAAGGCUAAAAAUACAUUAAAAUAAUGUUAAACAGCUGAGUAUCACCCAGGAAAUUCAGUUCGCUUGUGCCAUUAAGCAGAUGCUAUUACUCUGUGGUUAUUCUGGGCUUGU